ensembl:snRNA U6 U6 spliceosomal RNA
UUGAGUGCUCCCUUCAGCAUUAAAAUUGGAACGAUAUGGAGAAGAUGAGCAUGGGCCCUGUGCAGAGAUGACAUGCAAAUUCAAGAGGUAUUCCAUAUUUUU